rnacentral:SRP_RNA from 1 species
GCUGGGCGUGGUGGCUCAUGCCUGUAAUCCCAGCACUUUGGGAGGCUGAGGUGGGUGGAUCACUUGAGGUCAGGAGUUCGAGACCAGCCUGGCCAACAUGGUGAAACCCCAUCUCUA